UAAUAUCACCGUAUCGUCUAUGAUACUCGAACCAGUUCAGGACCGGAAGGUAGCAGACUUAAGGGACUUUUAUAGAGUGAUGCGGCUUUUUUAUUUAUU
rnacentral:SRP_RNA from 1 species